ACAACUGUACUUUCAGGGAUCAUUUCUAUAGUUCUUGACUAGAGAAGUUUCUCUGAAUGUGUAGAGCACCUGAAACCACGAGGAGGAGACACAAUGUUCUCUCCUGAGCAUGAAGCUGGUUUUUGGUGGUGUUUCUGCAACUGCCAAUAGCCAUUGAUGACCGUUCUUCUUGUCCUUUGGAAGAGUGAGAGGGAGAGAACACAGUCUGAGUGGA